GUACACUCCUGCGGGAGGCAGCAGUGGGGAAUUUUGGACAAUGGGCGAAAGCCUGAUCCAGCCAUGCCGCGUGCAGGAUGAAGGCCUUCGGGUUGUAAACUGCUUUUGUACGGAACGAAACGGCCUUUUCUAAUAAAGAGGGCUAAUGACGGUACCGUAAGAAUAAGCACCGGCUAACUACGUGCCAGCAGCCGCGGUAAUACGUAGGGUGCAAGCGUUAAUCGGAAUUACUGGGCGUAAAGCGUGCGCAGGCGGUUAUGUAAGACAGUUGUGAAAUCCCCGGGCUCAACCUGGGAACUGCAUCUGUGACUGCAUAGCUAGAGUACGGUAGAGGGGGAUGGAAUUCCGCGUGUAGCAGUGAAAUGCGUAGAUAUGCGGAGGAACACCGAUGGCGAAGGCAAUCCCCUGGACCUGUACUGACGCUCAUGCACGAAAGCGUGGGGAGCAAACAGGAUUAGAAACCCUGGUAGUCCCAUGAU
rnacentral:rRNA from 1 species